rnacentral:lncRNA from 1 species
UUUUCUUAUUAAAUAUUUUAUUAUAGAAAUAUUUAUUUGUAUAUAUCUUUAUAAUUCAUCAUUGAAUGAAUAAGAAGAAUUCAUAUUCUUUUCUUUAUGGUAUCAGAGCCAAACCCUAAUUCUAGGGUAUAGCCAUCCACUGAUGUCCUUCUUCCUCACCGGAUCUCAUCAGCGUUGCUCGUCCUCUUUUCUUUUCUCUGCCGCUACAGUACUGCUACAGUCAGCGCUACAGUACUGUUACAGUAUCAAUUCUGAUGCUAUA